rnacentral:sRNA from 1 species
GUGGGCUAUGGAGACACCCAUCCUGUCACCUUGGCCGGGAAGAUUAUCGCCAGCACAUGCAUCAUCUGCGGCAUAUUGGUGGUGGCCCUUCCUAUCACCAUCAUCUUCAACAAG